GGUCUGAAGUUAGUUAGAGAAGGAUUGGAAUUAGUUAGUGUUGACUCACUGAGUUAAGUGAGGACUCAAUUAGUUAGUGAAGCUGAAACUCAGUUAGUGAUGUUGAGAUGACACUGCCUUUAUUUAUGUUGGCUGAACUUGUUGAUGUUAUUACUUGAAAUCAAAACUUUCAUUUAUUAACUUAACUACUACUGAUAACGUUUUGGAAUACUAUUAUAUCCUCUUUGUUGCUUGCAGGUUCGAAUCAGUUGGAAACUUCUAGAAAAAGCUGUCAAUCCAAUUAGUCAGGAAACCGUUCUGUCAGUAGAAGCUUGCCCAAUUCAGUUAGGUUGUGGCUUUGAAUCAUGUUAAUGGAGGUUAGGUGGAUAUUGGAAAGGGCCUCCAAAGGCUUUCUAGAAGCAUUCCAACUGCAGUUGCUGAUGAUUUUUCUCAGGUUAAUGGUUAAAUCAAUGGAAGCUAGUUAGUGAAACCGGUUAGCUAUAUCUAGAAAGCAGAAUGCAGAUUGGGCAAUGAAGUGCAGGUUGAGUUGGCGGUUAACUGAACUUAUGUACAGAAAGUGGUGAUUCAAUUGGCGGUGUUAGGGUGAUGUACAGGUUUGGGAGCUUGUCGCUUUCUAAUGCAUCAUCGGCAGAUGAAAGGGAUAACCCAAUGACACCACCAGACUUGAUUGGACUGUGUAGUUCUGUGACAAGCAACCUGUGGAGUUUCAUUCUCACAAGUACUAUCGGUAACUGGGUUCCAAAGAGUGUUUGCAGAGUGUUGUAAUCCCUUGUGCAAGAAGCAGAAUUUGCAUCACCCUUACUUUAUCCCCAUUCGUUCCACCCAUCAAAGGCACAAGAAAUAUGUGUUGAAAAGAUGGUACCUGGUGUAUUUUAAUUUAUGGACAUGCGCACGUGAAAUUAUUACGGGAUUUGUAAAGAACAAUAACGGUUGAUAUUUGUAAUGUACAGUUUGUGUAAUGCAUUUGAAAUGGUAUAGGAUGAAUCAAGGAUUAGUGUUCAAAUUGAAUGCAACCAUGGCUGUAAUAUAUAAAUGAUAGAAUUGGAAUGGUAUUGUACAUGAAUUUCUAAUGGCUUUAGGAUUUAGUUUA